AUAGUUCCCAAUGGACGAAAGUCUGAGGACGCGACGCCGCGUGAGCGAAGAAGGCCUUCGGGUUGUAAAGCUCUGUCAGGAGGGAAGAAGGCGCUGGGUGUUAAUAGCACCAAGCGUUGACGGUACUUCCAGAGGAAGCCCCGGCUAAAUACGGGCCAGCAACCGCGGUAAUACGUAUGGGGCAAGCGUGUCCCGGAUAAGCUGGGCGUAAAGGGCACGCAGGCGGUUCGUUUAGUCGAAGGUGAAUCCCUGGGCUCAACUCAGGAACUGCCUUCGAUACUGGCGAACUAGAGUGGCGUAGAGGAAAGCGGAACUCCUGGUGUAACGGUGGAAUGUGUAGAUAUCAGGAGGAACACCGGUGGCGAAGNCGGCUUUCUGGACGCACACUGACGCUCAGGUGCGAAAGCGUGGGUAGCAAACAGGAUUAGAUACCCUGGUAGUCCACGCCGUAAACGAUGGGUACUAGGUGUCGGGGGUAUCGAUCCCCUCGGUGCCGAAGUCAACGCAUUAAGUACCCCGCCUGGGGAGUAUGGUCGCAAGGCUGAAACUCAAAGGAAUUGACGGGUCCCCGCACAAGCGGUGGAGCAUGUGGUUUAAUUCGACGCAACGCGAAGAACCUUACCUGGGCUUGACAUGCUUGGGACAGCGCUGGAAACAGCGUCUCUCCUUCGGGAGUCCUUGCACAGGUGCUGCAUGGCUGUCGUCAGCUCGUGUCGUGAGAUGUCGGGUUAAGUCCCUCAACGAGCGCAACCCUCGUUACUAGUUGCCAUCAGUUCGGCUGGGCACUCUAGUGAGACUGCCGGUGACAAACCGGAGGAAGGUGAGGAUGAUGUCAAGUCAUCAUGGCCCUUACGCCCAGGGCUACACACGUGCUACAAUGGUCGGCACAAAGGGCAGCCAAACCGCGAGGUGGAGCUAAUCCCAUAAAGCCGGCCCCAGUACGGAUUGGAGUCUGCAACUCGACUCCAUGAAGGCGGAAUCGCUAGUAAUCGCGGAUCAGCAUGCCGCGGUGAUAUGUUCCCGGGGAUUGUACACACCGCCCGUCAUAUCACCCGAGCCGGGGAUACCCGAAGUCCGUGACCCAACCAUUUGGAGGGAGCGGCCGAAGGUGUG
rnacentral:rRNA from 1 species